rnacentral:rRNA from 1 species
AGGGUUUGAUCCUGGCUCAGAACGAACGCUGGCGGCGUGGAUUAGGCAUGCAAGUCGAACGAGAAAGGGUUCGCAAGAACCCGAGUAAAGUGGCGAAAGGGUGAGUACUACCUAGGUAACCUACCCUGUUGACGGGGAUAACGACUGGAAACGGUCGCUAAUACCCGAUAAGACCGCAUCGCAUGGUCCUGCGAGGAAACGGUAGCCUCUGCGCAAGCACGCUUCCGCUACGGGAGGGGCCUCGGGCCUAUCAUCUAGUUGGUGGGGUAACGGCCCACCAAGGCAGGGACGGGUAGCCGGUCUGAGAGGAUGGUCGGCCACACUGGGACUGAGACACUGCCCAGACUCCUACGGGAGGCUGCAGUCGAGGAUCUUUUGCAAUGGGCGCAAGCCUGACAAAGCGACGCCGCGUGGGGGAGGAAGGCCUUCGGGUUGUAAACCCCUGUUGUCGGUUACGAAUGGUAGGGUGCCAAUAGCGCUACUACUUGACUAAGGCCUAUGAGGAAGCCACGGCUAACUACGUGCCAGCAGCCGCGGUAAUACGUAGGUGGCAAGCGUUGUUCGGAAUCACUGGGCAUAAAGCGCGCGUAGGCGGCUAUGUAAGUCGGGUGUGAAAUCCCUCGGCUCAACCGAGGAACUGCGCUCGAUACUGCAUGGCUUGAGGUCUGGAGGGGAGAGUGGAAUUCCCGGUGGAGCGGUGAAAUGCGUAGAGAUCGGGAAGAACGCCGGCGGCGAAAGCGACUCUCUGGUCAGACCCUGACGCUGAGGCGCGAAAGCUAGGGGAGCAAACGGGAUUAGAUACCCCGGUAGUCCUAGCCGUAAACGAUGGGUGCUAGGUAGUGGUCGUUCCUAUGCGGUCACUGCUGGAGCGAAUGUCUUAAGCACCCCGCCUGGGAAGUACGGUCGCAAGACUAAAACUCAAAGGAAUUGACGGGGGCUCACACAAGCGGUGGAGCAUGUUGCUUAAUUCGACGCGAAGAACCUCACCUGGGUUUGACAUGGCCGUAGUAUCUGCCGGAAACGGCGUGAGAUCCCCUCCCGGGGAAGCGGUCACAGGUGUUGCAUGGCUGUCGUCAGCUCGUGUCGUGAGAUGUUGGGUUAAGUCCCGUAACGAGCGAAACCCCUGCGCUUAGUUGCCACCAGGUAAAGCUGGGCCCUCUAAGCGGACUGCCGGUGUUAAACCGGAGGAAGGUGGGGAUGACGUCAAGUCAUCAUGGCCCUUACGCCCAGGGCUGCAAACGUGCUACAAUGGCGGGUACAAAGGGUUGCGAAACGGCGACGUGGAGCCAAUCCCAAAAAGCCCGUCCCAGUUCGGAUUGGAGGCUGCAAUUCGCCUCCAUGAAGUUGGAAUCGCUAGUAAUCGCGGAUCAGCCACGCCGCGGUGAAUAUGUUCCUGAGCCUUGUACACACCGCCCGUCAAGCCAUGGGAGCCGAGAGUGCCCGAAGUCACGAUCCCAACCUUCACCGGAGGGUAGUGCCGAAGGCAAGCUUGGUGACUGGGACUAAGUCGUAACAAGGUA